CCAUGCAUGUUCCGACCAAUUCUAGGUACACUCCGACAGACGUGGAGGCAGCCAUGCACACUCUGUCCAUGCAUCAACCGGAUGAUAAUUGGUACAUGGACACCGGAGCGACUUCCCACAUGACUGCCAACUCAGGAUUUACCGACGGGGAGCCGCCUAAUGAGAUGUGAGAGCACCGGGGAAUUGUAUCCUAUCAAUGC